UAAUACAAAAUUUGCCGUGCUUGAGGUGAGAUCGAGGGUGAAUGAGUUUCGAUCGGUUUUUGGAAAACCGAUUCGGUAUAUUAUAGAGUAAGAGUAAUUGUGAAUGUUAACAAUUCCUAUCAUAUGACAAAACAUGCAGUCAUCUAAUGCGAAAAAAUCAUGGACACAAAGGAAUCCUACCUACGCUAUCAUGAUACCAUUAAUCAUAGGACUUCACAUAGGUUGGUUUACACUACAACGACAUUAUGUACCAGUGGUUGAAAGACAUGAUCAUCCCUUAAUUAAAUUGUAUAAGAAAUAUAUUACAUAAAAAUGUAAUAUAUAUGAAUCCUGUUUGAAUUGUUAUUUAUAAUGUUGUUUAUUAUCUCUCUAAAUUAUAUUGUUAAAUAAUA